rnacentral:rRNA from 1 species
AAGUCGUCAUAGUCACUUGUGUCGUAGGCGGGUUGUCGCGUCUGCCGUGAAAGUCCGAGGCUCAACCUCGGAUCUGCGGUGGGUACGGGCAGACUAGAGUGAUGUAGGGGAGACUGGAAUUCCUGGUGUAGCGGUGAAAUGCGCAGAUAUCAGGAGGAACACCGAUGGCGAAGGCAGGUCUCUGGGCAUUUANNUGACGCUGAGGAGCGAAAGCAUGGGGAGCGAACAGGAUUAGAUACCCUGGUAGUCCAUGCCGUAAACGUUGGGCACUAGGUGGGGGACAUUCCACGUUUUCCGCGCCGUAGCUAACGCAUUAAGUGCCCCGCCUGGGGAGUACGGCCGCAAGGCUAAAACUCAAAGGAAUUGACGGGGGCCCGCACAAGCGGCGGAGCAAAGCGGAUUAAUUCGAUGCAACGCGAAGAACCUUACCAAGGCUUGACAUGUGCCAGACCGCUCCAGAGAUGGGGUUUCCCUUCGGGGCUGGUUCUCAGGUGGUGCAUGGUUGUCGUCAGCUCGUGUCGUGAGAUGUUGGGUUAAGGGCUUCUGUAUA